AUUGAACGCUGGCGGCAGGCUUAACACAUGCAAGUCGAGCGGGGUGAUGGUGCUUGCACUAUCACUUAGCGGCGGACGGGUGAGUAAUGCUUAGGAAUCUGCCUAUUAGUGGGGGACAACACCUCGAAAGGGAUGCUAAUACCGCAUACGUCCUACGGGAGAAAGCAGGGGAUCACUUGUGACCUUGCGCUAAUAGAUGAGCCUACGUCGGAUUAGCUAGUUGGUGGGGUAAAGGCCUACCAAGGCGACGAUCUGUAGCGGGCCUGAGAGGAUGAUCCGCCACACUGGGACUGAGACACGGCCCAGACUCCUACGGGAGGCAGCAGUGGGGAAUAUUGGACAAUGGGGGGAACCCUGAUCCAGCCAUGCCGGGUGUGUGAAGAAGGCCUUAUGGUUGUAAAGCACUUUAAGCGAGGAGGAGGCUCUUUUGGUUAAUACCCAAGAUGAGUGGACGUUACUCGCAGAAUAAGCACCGGCUAACUCUGUGCCAGCCGCCGCAGUAA
rnacentral:rRNA from 1 species